AGGGGGAGAUCUCACUCUGCCGCCAGUUGGAGGGCAUCAGUGUGAUCACAGCUCACUGCAGCUUCAGAUGCCUGGGCCCAAGCAAUCCAGCCACUUCAGCCUCCUGAGUACCUGGGACUGUAGGUGAGUGCCACCAUGCCCAGCUGUCAUCUACCAUCUUGUACCAUCCCUCACUACACGAUGAACAGUCCAUGAUCUGGAACUGUGUUCAUUCUAUCUUUGUCACUCUUACAAACAUUUUUUAAAACUGAACUAUACCUAUAAUUACUAACCAUUCCUCUUAAAACUCCUAGCCUACACAUUUCUGUGAGUGAAAAUUUAAGCAUCACAGGGUUUUAACAAUUACUUAGAUUUCCCAUCCACAUUCACUGAUUAUUUAUUUUGAUCAUCAUAAUCUAUUGCGCACAGCAGGGACUGGGGUCCUGUCCCCACCUUAGGGGGAUUAUUUACACUCCUAAAGAUUACAAGAGUAGUGAGGGGCAGAGAGGUGGUCUCAGCUCUCCUGACACAGGUCUCCCUUCCCUCCACAGUGUCUACCCUCCCUCCAGGACGACCUUCCUCCCUGUGCCAGCUCUAGCAAAGGGUCUCAUUCAGCUCACCUCAAAAAAUACUUUUAAUACUUAAAUAACGACAAUAAUAAUAAUAUACAAGGUUAGUUCCAAGGCAUGUAGAGGUGAUGGCCAGCAGAGGUGAAGCCAAUCCACCCUUUCUGGGCUAGGGGAAGCCCAGAUGGUCUUCCGCUCGCUCGGGGUGAGGCACUCCCCAGGGUCCCGGCCUGGCUGCCCAUCCCCCACCAAGUCUCCCAGGCCUUCUGUCCAAUGCCCUCUCCCUCCACCCCACCUCCAGCCCCUUCUGCUCUGCCCCAUCAACUACGUUUUCUUCCUCAGGACUCGCCUUAGACCUCUGAACUCCGGGGCACAGAGGCGACUUUCUCCUCACAGACUUUAGGCGCCACUGCUGGGUCCGGAAAAGAAAGAGAAAGGACCCAGUGCGGUCGCUUACAGAACCCAGGGCGGGGUUGGGCUGGGCGCCCGCGCGCGUUUUCAAGCCUGCGGCCCGGAGUUCACUGCGAGGACUGAGAUCACCCGUUACCCCGCCCUGGUCUACAAGUGUUUGCUGAUAUAGAAACGGAAUAACGGCGCUGUGGGCUGGGGAGGACGGAGUUGCCUUCAGGCUUCUGGUCUCCAGCCGCGGGGCACUCACAGCUGCCGCUAUGAAAAUGCAGACCUGUGGGGCAGGAAUUCCGAGUCCGGGGUGGAGCGCGAUGUGGAAUCUGACUCGCUUGAAACAGCACCGCGGUGGAUUCGGAUCCGG
rnacentral:lncRNA from 10 species